CUGAGAGGAAAAGUCUGUGCUCAGGCAGUUGACUGAGAUGAAGAUCUAAACAAGAUGGAGAAGAAAAGAUCCAUUAAAAAGACUCCUCCAGCUGUUGAGUUUACAAUGGGCUAUUUAGAGCACACUUCAAAACCAACAAAUGUAAGGUGUACAAGACAGUAGUGAGACCAGCUAUCUAUGCUGUAAGUAAAUCUCAAGCUGAUGGGCUGCCACAUAACUAAAGGACAGAAAAAGCACAGCAACAACACAGGUGAAUAAGCCUGAGUCAUGAAGAAAACAUGGGCUCUGGGAAAUAUCUGAAACUCCUCACCGAUGUCGAUACACCUCUGUUUGGCUGUGUGCUGUCUGGAGUGCCAAUACUUCCAGUGCUUGAGCUGGUCAUCCCUACAUUUCUCCUCACCGAACACUACCAUCACGACACUCUGUAAAAACAAAUUAUGAUGAAAGUUCAAGACACACGUCUAACUAACAUGUCAAACAAACACACACAAACACACGCACACUCCACAUACCCUGACUUUGCAGA